GCAUACAUUUCCAGCUGGUUGCAAGGACUUCUGUGGCAAGUUUGUUUUAUUACUUCCAUGCUCUAUGUCUUUGUUGAACUAUCCAAAAUUUGGUUUUGGGCUGUUUAGAAUUUAUUGUUCACAAAUCUGUCAUUUGCAAGUUUCUCUCUGUUUAUGUUUUAGGUUGAAGAUGGCCCAGAGAGGUAAGCCUUACAGUUGCUAAUCUAGAAGCAUUAGGCAAGAGUGUCUGAGAACGAUGUGAGAACUCCCAUUAAUGGGAAUCAAAAGGAAACCCUGAAAUCAUUUUUUAAGGAUGGAAUGACACGAGUUGGUUCAGAAUUAAUACCAAGAGCUGCAUCAGCUACUGGUUUGGACACCAGUGUUGUAGAAAUAAGGUUUACUUUUGUGCCACACUAACAAACAACAUGUCAAAUAAAUAUAUAAUUCUGCUGCACUGCUUCUAUAAAUGAAGUGUUUUGUUAACAUUCGGUUUAAUUGGUGUAAUACCCUUUCGCUAUUUUUUGUUUUUCAGAACUGGAUCGGUAAUUACAAAAGAUCACAAAUGACUAAUGCUUCGUCUGAACCCCAGCCAAAGUUCACAUUAGAAAGCUGUCGCCUUACAAUCUUUUUUGUAGGGACAUAUUCAAAAACAAAGGCACAAUGAAUAAUAUUAAGGGCAGGUGCGCCACAUUGGGGGAAGAUGCAAAGCAAAAAUACAUUCAAGAGGCAGCAGCACUGAGGGCACAUGGGCAGGCACAGGACCUAAACUCUGAUAUGAGGGAUGCCCGAAUUAAAAUGCACCUUAAGAAGCUGAAGUUAGAGGUUUGGAAACCGGAUUCAUUUGCUAAGCAUUAGUGGUAUUCUUAAAGUAUUAGAUGGAAGGAUGAUCAACAGCAAUUGUGGUGUGAGCAGAACAUUGUGUUAGACAACUGGAUUGUUUAUCUCUAGUUUUUAUCAUAAUUUCAAAUGAGUACGUUAAAAAAAUAUUCCAGCUGAUUUUUUGUUUACAAGGCUAUCAACAUCAAAUAUUCUCACAUUGAAGAAAUUGUCAAAGACUCAUACCACCAUCUCAAACUGGAAGCAGCUGAAGAACAAAGUACAAAGUGGUCAUAAGAUUUCUUAAAUUAAAAUUUAGUUACCCCUCUGUCUCAGGUUUGAUUUACAUCCAUUUCUGAAACGAAAA